rnacentral:rRNA from 1 species
CUGAUGCAGCACGCCGCGUGAGGGACGAAGGCCUUCGGGUUGUAAACCUCUUUUAGCAGGGAAGAAGCGAAAGUGACGGUACCUGCAGAAAAAGCACCGGCUAACUACGUGCCAGCAGCCGCGGUAAUACGUAGGGUGCAAGCGUUGUCCGGAAUUAUUGGGCGUAAAGAGCUCGUAGGCGGUUUGUCGCGUCUGCUGUGAAAACUGGAAGCUCAACUUCCAACCUGCAGUGGGUACGGGCAAACUAGAGUGCGGUAGGGGAGAACGGAAUUCCUGGUGUAGCGGUGGAAUGCGCAGAUAUCAGGAGGAACACCGAUGGCGAAGGCAGAUCUCUGGGCCGUUACUGACGCUGAGGAGCGAAAGCGUGGGGAGCGAACAGGAUUAGAUACCCUGGUAGUCCACGCCGUAAACGGUGGGUGCUAGCUGUGGGCCACAUUCCACGUGGUCCGUGACGAAGUUAACACAUUAAGCACCCCGCCUGGGGAGUACGGCCGCAAGGCUAAAACUCAAAUGAAUUGACGGA